rnacentral:tRNA from 1 species
AGGGAUAUGGUGAAGCGGAAACACAGCGGACUUUGACUCCGUCAUCACCGGUUCGAGCCCGGUUAUCCCUGCCA